rnacentral:rRNA from 1 species
UGUCACCUACGGGGGGCAGCAGUGGGGGAUAUUGCACAAUGGGGGGAACCCUGAUGCAGCGACGCCGCGUGGGUGAAGGAGUGCUUCGGCAUGUAAAGCCCUAUCGGCAGGGAAGAAGCAAGACGGUACCUGACUAAGAAGCCCCGGCUAACUACGUGCCAGCAGCCGCGGUAAUACGUAGGGGGCGAGCGUUAUCCGGAUUCACUGGGUGUAAAGGGAGCGGAGACGGCCAUGGAAGCCAGGGGGGA